rnacentral:rRNA from 1 species
UACGGAGGGGGCUAGCGUUGUUCGGAAUUACUGGGCGUAAAGCGCACGUAGGCGGCUUUGUAAGUUAGAGGUGAAAGCCCGGAGCUCAACUCCGGAAUUGCCUUUAAGACUGCAUCGCUCGAAUCAUGGAGAGGUGAGUGGAAUUCCGAGUGUAGAGGUGAAAUUCGUAGAUAUUCGGAAGAACACCAGUGGCGAAGGCGACUCACUGGACAUGUAUUGACGCUGAGGUACGAAAGCGUGGGGAGCAAACAGG